rnacentral:rRNA from 1 species
CCUACGGGUGGCAGCAGUGAGGAAUAUUGGUCAAUGGGCGAGAGCCUGAACCAGCAAAGUCGCGUGAAGGAUGAAGGAUCUAUGGUUUGUAAACUUCUUUUAUAUGGGAAUAAAGUGAGGAACGUGUUCCUUUUUGUAUGUAUAUUAUGCUUAAGCAUCGGCUAACUCCGUGCCAGCAGCCCCGGUAAUACGGAGGAUGCGAGCGUUAUCCGGAUUGAUUGGGUUUAAAGGGUGCGUAGGUGGUUCAUUAAGUCAGCGGUGAAAGUUUGUGGCUCAACCAUAAAAGUGCCGUUGAAACUGGUUGACAUGAGGAUAUUGAAGGUAGGCGGAAUGCGUGGGGUAGCGGAGAA